AGAAUCAACGCUGGCGGCGUGCCUAACACAUGCAAGUCGAACGAGAAAGUGGAGCAAUCCAUGAGUAAAGUGGCGCACGGGUGAGUAACACGUGACUAACCUACCCUUGAGUGGGGGAUAACCUAGGGAACCUGGGCUAAUACCGCAUAAUACCUUCGGGUCAAAGGAGCAAUUCGCUUAAGGAGGGGGUCGCGGCCGAUUAGUUAGUUGGCGGGGUAAUGGCCCACCAAGACUGUGAUCGGUAU
rnacentral:rRNA from 1 species